UGUGGGAUCUUCCCAGACCGGGGCAGGAACCCGCGUCCCCUGCAUUCGCAGGCGGACUCUCAACCACUGCGCCACCAGGGAAGCCCAUCUUCUCAGAUUUUAAAGCUGUUGGAGAAGUCGGGUGAGGAGAACUCUGGGGGCUCCCCACUCCGGGUGGGGCAGGAAAGGAAUGCUGUGCCCACAGCUGUGCCUCUGACACCUGCUUUCUGUGCAGCCCCUAUUGGUUUUAUUCUUUCCUAGGCACAGCUUCCCUCCACCCCAGGAAGGAAGGGACUGACCUUGAUCUGGCACCCGCUUGCUUGUACCAAAAAGAAGAACCUACUUCACCCAGCUGGCUUGGGUUCCCUCUGAGAAGCCGUCCUGAUUGACUGAAAGAUAAGGCUAAACUCUAGCAAGUUGAAGAGCUCUUUCAAGAAGCCUUUGAACCAGAGAGAAGUGGGGAGGCCCUAGCCUCCAGCCUGGGCAGCCCACUGUACCUGGAGCCACCUGGGAUAACACUUUGCUUCACCAUUGCUCCCAGGUCUACAAGCUGUCCAUCCCACCCGUCCUGGUUUCUCCUGUGUUGUCUGAGCUGAGAUUCCUCUGAGAUGGAAGUCCCAUCUCCUGUCUAAUAAAGACUCUUGAAUACUGA